AAAAUGACUAGUUAAGUUAAUAUUUUAAUCUAACCACUUAUAUUUAUCCUUUCAUGUUUUAUACUUUUCUGAUGUGGGAUUUAUAAUCCCAACAUAGUCUGAUGGUGAUGUGUGCCUGAAACACAGGAAAAUAAGGUGAGGUUGGUAGUUUAUUGGCCAACCACUCCGACGCACAAGUUAGUAAAUGAUUAGGAGAGUUUUGAGAGCCAUGCAUGUAACGUUCAUUAAUAAAUUUAGCAGAGUUAAUGUACCUAACUUGUGUAACUAUUUUGAGAUUUAUAGAUUGAAAACUUGAGCACUAAGGUAGUUCUUGGAAUUUCAAAAUGUUUGGUUAUGAUCCCAAAAUUCUCGACAGGUGUGACCAUUACCAGAUGCAUGUUGUCCACAAAUCUAUCCUUCAUGUUGAGCCAACCUUAGCUAAUGCUCAAUUGGUUCUUUUGGCCAAGCAUUCGAGCCAUCAGAUGCUCAGGAUCUUGAAUGUCAAAUCUAAGCCAUCUUACUGCUCGAACUUAGUCUAUCUUGACUUCUCAGUUCCUUGACCAUUGUAUUGACUCUUUGAUUGAGCCUUUUGAUUAUUUGACUCUUUGAUCAAGUCUUUUGAUCACGUGACUCGUUAUUAGGCAAGUUAUAUCAUUAUCUUGGUACACUAGGGAGUUGAUGAGAUUUCUUUAUUUAUUAUAUUGCUUAUUAUUGAUGUUUACAUGUGUUGUGUACUGUAUAAGCGUAU
rnacentral:misc_RNA from 1 species